rnacentral:rRNA from 1 species
AUUGAACGCUGGCGUCAGGCCUAACACAUGCAAGUCGAACGAGUGGCGGACGGGUGAGUAAUGUCUGGGAAACUGCCUGAUGGAGGGGGAUAACUACUGGAAACGGUAGCUAAUACCGCAUACCAUCAGAUGUGCCCAGAUGGGAUUAGCUAGUUGGUGGGGUAACGGCUCACCAAGGCGACGAUCCCUAGCUGGUCUGAGAGGAUGACCAGCCAAACGGGAACUGAGACACGGGGCAGACACUGACGGGAGGCAGCAGUGGGGAAUAUUGCAAAAUGGGCGCAAGCCUGAUGAAGCCAUGCCGCGUGUAUGAAGAAGGCCUUCGGGGUGGAAAGUACUUUCAGCGGGGAGGCGUUACACGCAGAAGAAGCACCGGCUAACUCCGUGCCAGCAGCCGCGGUAAUUC